UACAGAGGUCUCAAGCGUUGUUCGGAUUCAUUGGGCGUAAAGGGUGCGUAGGUGGCGGGGCCAGUCAGGUGUGAAAUCCCGGGGCUUAACCCUGGAACUGCAUUGAUACUGCCUUGCUGGAGAACUGGAGAGGAGACUGGAAUUUACGGUGUAGCAGUGAAAUGCGUAGAUAUCGUAAGGAAGACCAGUGGCGAAGGGCGGGUCUCUGGACAGUUCCUGACGCUGAGGCACGAAGGUCAGGGGAGCAAACGGG
rnacentral:rRNA from 1 species